ensembl:misc_RNA Metazoa_SRP Metazoan signal recognition particle RNA
GCCAGGUGUGGUGGCGUGCACCUGUAGUCCCAGCUACUCAGGAGGCUGAGGCAGGAGAAUUGCUUGAACCCGGGAGGCAGAGGUUGCAGUGAGCUGAGAUCACACCACUGCAUUCCAGCCAGGUGAAGGAGCAACACUCCAUCUCAAAAAAAAAAAAAAAGGCUGUUUUGAUUUUUUUUUUUUUUUUUUUUUUUUUUUUUUGAGAAGGAGUUUCGCUUUUGUCACCCUGGCUGGAGUGAAGUGGCACCAUCUUGGCUCACUGCAACCUCUGCCUCCCGGGUUCAAGCAAUUCUCCUGCCUCAG